GAUGAAGAACGCAGCGAAAUGCGAUAAGUAGUGUGAAUUGCAGAAUUCAGCGAAUCAUCGAAUCUUUGAACGCACAUUGCGCCCCUUGGUAUCCCGAGGGGCAUGCCUGUUCGAGCGUCAUUUCACCACUCAAGCCUGGCUUGGUGUUGGGCGACGUCCCCUUUGGGGACGCGCCUCGAAACGCUCGGCGGCGUGGCACCGGCUUUAAGCGUAGCAGAAUCUUUCGCUUUGGAAGUCGGGGCCCCGUCUGCCGGAAGACCUACUCGCAAGGUUGACCUCGGAUCAGGCAGGGAUACCCGCUGAACUUAAGCAUAUCAAUAAGCGGAGGA
rnacentral:misc_RNA from 1 species